rnacentral:rRNA from 1 species
CCUACGGGAGGCAGCAGUAGGGAAUCUUCCACAAUGGGCGAAAGCCUGAUGGAGCAACGCCGCGUGGGUGAAGAAGGUCUUCGGAUCGUAAAACCCUGUUGUUAGAGAAGAAAGUGCGUGAGAGUAACUGUUCACGUUUCGACGGUAUCUAACCAGAAAGCAACGGCUAACUACGUGACAGCAGCCGCGGUAAUACGUAGGUGGCAAGCGUUAUCCGGAUUUAUUGGGCGUAAAGGGAACGCAGGCGGUCUUUUAAGUCUGAUGUGAAAGCCUUCGGCUUAACCGGAGUAGUGCAUUGGAAACUGGGAGACUUGAGUGCAGAAGAGGAGAGUGGAACUCCAUGUGUAGCGGUGAAAUGCGUAGUUAUAUGGAAGAACACCAGUGGCGAAAGCGGCUCUCUGGUCUGUAACUGACGCUGAGGUUCGAAAGCGUGGGUAGCAAACAGGAUUAGAUACCCCAGUAGUC